GGUUGCGAUCAUACCAGCACUAAUGCACCGGAUCCCAUCAGAACUCCGCAGUUAAGCGUGCUUGGGCGAGAGUAGUACUAGGAUGGGUGACCCCCGAAGAAGUCCUCGUGUUGCAACCC
rnacentral:rRNA from 1 species